rnacentral:misc_RNA from 1 species
UGGUUCUGGCAUCGAUGAAGAACGCAGCGAAAUGCGAUAAGUAAUGUGAAUUGCAGAAUUUAGUGAAUCAUCGAAUCUUUGAACGCACAUUGCGCCCUUUGGUAUUCCGAGGGGCAUGCCUGUUCGAGCGUCAUUACAACCCUCAAGCACUGCUUGGUAUUGGAUCUGGCUUUUGUUAGCUGGUCUUAAAAUUAGUGGCGGUGCCAUCUGGCUCUAAGCGUAGUAAAUAUCUCGCUCUUGAGUCCUGUGAGCUCUUGCCAUCAACCUCAAAUUUUCUAUGGUUGACCUCGGAUCAGGUAGGGAUACCCGCUGA